rnacentral:misc_RNA from 1 species
AACACACUGUGCAGCUAAUACCCUAUUCCCCAACCACUUAUGAGACCCCAAAAACCAACAAUUCACAGCAAAACCAAUAGCUACCACAGCUGAAGAUAACAAACACAAAAACUCAAGAAUCGAAAGAAACCCAUCAAAAUUAAACUCAUACUCAGCUGAAACUUGACCAUUUACAGUUCCCUCUGAAUCAAAGCUCUUAACUUUCCAUUGAUG